rnacentral:tRNA from 1 species
AUUAGUGUGGCGGAGAUGUACGCGUGUGGUCUAAGACCACAAGACGGGGCGGUAGUCCCCCUCUAAUA